rnacentral:rRNA from 1 species
AGUGAAUAGAUACCCAGGUAGUCCACGCCCUAAACGAUGUCAACUAGGUGUUGGGUGGGUAAAACCAUUUAGUACCGUAGCUAAACGCGUGAAAGUUGACCGCCUGGGGAGUACGGCCGCAAGGUUAAAACUCAAAGGAAUUGACGGGGACCCGCACAAGCGGUGGAUGAUGUGGAUUAAUUCGAUGCAACGCGAAAAACCUUACCUACCCUUGACAUGCCAGGAACUUGCCAGAGAUGGCUUGGUGCCCGAAAGGGAGCCUGGACACAGGUGCUGCAUGGCUGUCGUCAGCUCGUGUCGUGAGAUGUUGGGUUAAGUCCCGCAACGAGCGCAACCCUUGUCGUUAAUUGCCAUCAUUUGGUUGGGCACUUUAACGAGACUGCCGGUGACAAACCGGAGGAAGGUGGGGAUGACGUCAAGUCCUCAUGGCCCUUAUGGGUAGGGCUUCACACGUCAUACAAUGGUCGGUACAGAGGGUUGCCAAGCCGCGAGGCGGAGCCAAUCCCAGAAAGCCGAUCGUAGUCCGGAUUGCAGGCUGCAACUCGCCU